rnacentral:ncRNA from 1 species
UCAUACGCGGGAUGCUGUGACACGCGGCCCACACCCCGGCCGCCGGGACCGCGCCGAGCCACUGGCGAGACCGACCCGCCGCUUG